rnacentral:rRNA from 1 species
UAUGAUGGGGGGAUUGGAAUUUAGCGGGUGACUGUGCGCUAUUGUGGAGCCGCCGCGGUAAUACGUAGAGGUGCGAGCGUUGUCCGGAUUUAUUGGGCGUAAAGGGCUCGUAGGUGGUUGAUCGCGUCGGAAGUGUAAUCUUGGGGCUUAACCCUGAGCGUGCUUUCGCUACGGGUUGACUUGAGGAAGGUAGGGGAGAAUGGAAUUCCUGGUGGAGCGGUGGAAUGCGCAGAUAUCAGGAGGAACACCAGUGGCGAAGGCGGUUCUCUGGGCCUUUCCUGACGCUGAGGAGCGAAAGCGUGGGGAGCGAACAGGCUUAGAUACCCCGGUAGUCCACGCUGUAAACGGUGGGUACUAGGUGUGGGGUCCAUUCCACGGGUUCCGUGCCGUAGCUAACGCUUUAAGUACCCCGCCUGGGGAGUACGGCCGCAAGGCUAAAACUCAAAGGAAUUGACGGGGCCCCGCACAAGCGGCGGGAGCAUGCGGAUUAAUUCGAUGCAACCCGUAGAACCUUACCUGGGGUUUGACAUGGAUCGGGAGUGCUCAGAGAUGGGUGUGCCUCUUUUUGGGGUCGGUUCACAGGUGGUGCAUGGUUGUCGUCAGCUCGUGUCGGGAGAUGUUGGGUUAAGUCCCGCAACGAGCGCAACCCUUGUUCACUGUUGCCAGCACGUUAUGGUGGGGGACUCAGUGGAAGACCGCCGGGUCAACUCGAGAGGAAGGUGGGGGAUGACGUCAAGUCAUCAUGCCCUUAUGUCCAGGGCUUCACGCAUGCUACAUGGCUGGUACAGAGAGUGGCGAGCCCUGUGAGGUGAGCGAAUCUUCGGAAAGC